GUUUGACUUUCUAAGCCUAAGGAUCGUUUUCAUUUUAUCCUAACCUGCAGUCCACAAAUUAGAAGCUACUAACCUACGAUCGGUGAAUUAUUUCUAAUUUUGCUGUGUGUUCUUUGUUACAUUUUCAUAGUAUUGUCUGUAUAUAUAUAUAUUAAGGAAAGAAGGUGAAAAAGAGAUGAUUAUUCCUGUCAGGUGUUUCACUUGUGGGAAGGUCAUAGGAAACAAAUGGGAAGCUUACCUUGGUCUUUUGCAAGCAGAAUAUACAGAAGGUGAUGCAUUGGAUGCUUUAGGACUGAAAAGAUACUGCUGUCGAAGAAUGCUUCUUGGCCAUGUGGACUUAAUUGAAAAACUGCUGAACUAUGCACCCCUAGAGAAAUGAUUGACAUGUAUGCAUUACUUUUUAUUUCAUCUAUAUUAUCACUGUGAUUUAUAAUUCACUUUUAACAUCCUCUCAAUUGAAUAAAUUUGUAUUUUAUGUUUCUGUAUGUCAUCUCAAUUGAAUAAAUUUGUAUGUUAUGUUUCUGUAUGGCAUCUUCUCAAGUGAAUAAAUUUUGAUUUUACAUUUC